CCUCACGUGACCUUUGUGUGAUGAAAACUGUAAACAAAAGGAGACUAGCUUAAGAUAGUAAGAAGGAAAAGUAGGGGGAUUUUUUUAGAAUCAAUGGACUGACUACUGUUUGCUUAAAAUCCAAUGGCAAAUGUUUCCUGUAUACAGAGGACAAGUCCUUAUAUUAAAUGGAUUAACAGUUUGCCAGUAGCUGAACUACUCUGAAAAGAACUAAAUACUUUACAAAUCUUGUGUGACUGAGGCACUUUCCUGGAUUGACCUGUCAACAGGAAUACCCAGUGCAAACAAACCCUUUGACAGCCAAUACGUUGCAAGGAUGUAUUAUUAGUACCUGAUCAUACAAAGAGCAUAAGACCAAAAGGGACCUAAAAGAAAUAGCAAAUUAAUCUAAGUUACAUGUACCUACAUGUACGAUAUCAAAUUGGGUUAUGGAUGUCUCAGCUGUUAAACCCUACCACUAAAGGAUUGAAGUGCACACACCAAGUACAAAGACAACCAACAUUGGCACAGUCACUGAAAGCAAGCUCAAAGUACUUAAUCUUUUGAUAGAAAACAUGCAGUCCAGUAUUAAAAUGUGCAGUCUAACCAGGAACAUAUAUAGAUAUACUGUCCCCAGGAAAAACAUUUGAAAUUGGUUGCUCAUCUUUGAAAUAAAUGAAGAACAUUGUCAAUGCAAAAUAUACCUGGAGUCGGUUUCACAAAAAAAAUAACAUGCGACUAAGAUUGAUAGUAAGUAUUCUGAAUUGUUCAUGACUUACAAUCAAUCUUAGUCAUAAGUUUUUUUUGUGAAACGGACUCCUGUGACCAAUAAACAAUCAUUGACAAUAUGUACGUCCAAGAAAAUAACAAAGACAAAUGUUAUCCAAGACGUUUGAUAUGAUAAAAAUCACUGCAAGAAUUGUUACUUAGUUAAUGCCAUGUUUUUAUUGAGAUCAGUUGUGAUUAACAAUUUUUACUAUUAUUGUUCAUUUUAGUCUGGUCUAUUUUCAUAGAACUGUAGAAAUAAGAUCACAUCCCAAUCCCAAUUUACACUGUUUCACGUCCAAAGGUGCAUACAUUUGGGGAUGGGGGCAGGGGUCCCGGGUUCUGUCCACAUUUUUGAGCUACAUUUUUGGUUAAUGCAUAGACUUGUCUUGUAGCUAUGUAUAUAGACGUUGCAUUGUUUGCCCCCUUUCAACGGUAUUAUACUCUUACUGACACUCGGUUAUUAUCGCAAUGUUCAUCCCUCCCCCUUUUUAAUAAAACGCAGCAUAUUUUAAUGCCGAAACUAAAUUUGCCACGUUCAAUGAUUGUCUUCAGUUAUUUAAUAAUAAACACGUCGAAUUGAGAUGCAAUAAAUAAGGGAACGUACAAACCAAGAGUGGGAUAAGAUAUCAAAAUACACGAGGGUCAAUGACAUUGUUGUUUUGGUUAUGCAAUAAUUAUUUGAGACUUUAUUGGUAUUGCUGGAAUUCUACAAUGAAAUAAAAUAAACUUACCAUAAAAUUAAGAAUUCACAGUUGAUAAAAAUCACUUUCCAAGGCAGAAUAUGUGAAAUAGGUCACCGCUUCAGGUAUCCGCCAUUAUCACUCAUAUGUAAAUGCCCGUAUGUUUAUAUAUGUUUUUAAGCUCUCUGAAUUCUUAGUGCGAACAUACACAUGCUCGAUAUAUAUCCUUUUAAUUUCUUAAACGCCUUAGGUCCGGAAUGGUUUUUGUUGUCCAGAAAUUAAAGAAUACAUUAAGAUACAAUUAUAUACUGUAGAAAUUAAGAUAUAUGUAGGUUUUCUGAUAAAUAAUCAUGUUUAAAAUUGGUGGUCACCUUACUAUCGUUUGUACCAAUUCGGAUAUAUACGAAAUUGAGGGUGGGUCCAUUAAAAGUUUAAUAACUUUUUUAUUCUAAAACAUUAUAAAGUAAUUUUUGGUGUUUUGAAAUUCUUAAAUGUUGCUCUUUCGAAUGGUACAUUUUUCAAGCUCAGAAUCUGAACAGUUCUCUCUGUAGAUCAUCUCAAAGUUAAGGUAGCCAGUCCAAAAGGUGACAUUAUGUCGAGGGCUACAUAACUGAUCAAAAUACCCCCUAGCCGGUGACUUUCCUAUGCCAAGAUAGCUAUAUAUAUAUAUAUAUAUA